rnacentral:rRNA from 1 species
AUUGAACGCUGGCGGCAGGCUUAACACAUGCAAGUCGAGCGGGGUGAUGGUGCUUGCACUAUCACUUAGCGGCGGACGGGUGAGUAAUGCUUAGGAAUCUGCCUAUUAGUGGGGGACAACAUCUCGAAAGGGAUGCUAAUACCGCAUGCGUCCUACGGGAGAAAGCAGGGGAUCACUUGUGACCUUGCGCUAAUAGAUGAGCCUAAGUCGGAUUAGCUAGUUGUUGGGGUAAAGGCCUACCAAGGCGACGAUCUGUAGCGGGUCUGAGAGGAGGAUCCGCCACACUGGGACUGAGACACGGCCCAGACUCCGACGGGAGGCAGCAGUGGGGAAUAUUGGACAAUGGGGGGAACCCUGAUCCAGCCAUGCCGCGUGUGUGAAGAAGGCCUUAUGGUUGUAAAGCACUUUAAGCGAGGAGGAGGCUCUUUUGGUUAAUACUCAAGAUGAGUGGACGUUACUCGCAGAAUAAGCACCGGCUAACUCUGUGCCAGCCGCCGCCGUAA